rfam:Ipomoea nil DNA, scaffold: scaffold1694, cultivar: Tokyo-kokei standard.
GGGCAUUUGGUCUAGUGGUAUGAUUCUUGCUUAGGGUGCGAGAGAUCCCGAGUUUAAUUCUCAGAAUGCCCC